rnacentral:rRNA from 1 species
AGAUUGAACGCUGGCGGAAUGCUUUACACAUGCAAGUCGAACGGCAGCACGGAGAGCUUGCUCUCUGGUGGCGAGUGGCGAACGGGUGAGUAAUAUAUCGGAACGUGUCCAAUAAUGGGGGAUAACGAGUCGAAAGAUUCGCUAAUACCGCAUACGCCCUACGGGGGAAAGCAGGGGAUCGUAAGACCUUGCGUUAAUGGAGCGGCCGAUAUCUGAUUAGCUUGUUGGUGAGGUAAAGGCUCACCAAGGCGACGAUCAGUAGCUGGUUUGAGAGAACGACCAGCCACACUGGAACUGAGACACGGUCCAGACUCCUACGGGAGGCAGCAGUGGGGAAUUUUGGACAAUGGGGGCAACCCUGAUCCAGCCAUUCCGCGUGAGUGAAGAAGGCCUUCGGGUUGUAAAGCUCUUUCGCAAGGGAAGAAAACUUAUGAUCGAAUAAAUCAUGAGGUUGACGGUACCUUGAUAAGAAGCACCGGCUAACUACGUGCCAGCAGCCGCGGUAAUACGUAGGGUGCGAGCGUUAAUCGGAAUUACUGGGCGUAAAGCGUGCGCAGGCGGUUUUGUAAGUCGGAUGUGAAAUCCCCGGGCUCAACCUGGGAACUGCGUUCGAAACUGCAAGGCUAGAGUGUGUCAGAGGGGGGUAGAAUUCCACGUGUAGCAGUGAAAUGCGUAGAGAUGUGGAGGAAUACCAAUGGCGAAGGCAGCCCCC